CACUUUAUCACUGCAAGGGUGACUGAGCACUGGCACAGGCUGCCCAGGGAGGUUGUGGAGCCUCCAUCCUUGGAGAUGUUGAAAAUCCACCUGGGUACAGUUCUGGUUUGCAGGAUGUUGGUGGGAACUGCCUGGAAGAAGGGUAGAAGUGUCCUUGGAGGUGUGGAGC